rnacentral:rRNA from 1 species
GUGCACCAGGGAACCAGGACUAUUACCUUGAAAAAAUUAGAGUGUUUAAAGCGGGCAUUUGCUUGAAUACAUUAGCAUGGAAUAAAGAAAAUAGAAACACGGUUCUAUUUUGUUGGUUAUAGGACCAACGUAAUGAUUAAUAGGGAUAGUUGGGGGCAUUAGUAUUCAAUUGUCAGAGGUGAAAUUCUUGGAUUUAUUGAAGACUAACUACUGCGAAAGCAUUUGCCAAGGAUGUUUUCAUUAAUCAAGAACGAAAGUUAGGGGAUCGAAGACGAUCAGAUACCGUCGUAGUCUUAACCAUAAACUAUGCCGACUAGGAAUCGGGCGAUAAAAUUUUAAUGACUCGCUCGGCACCUUAUGGGAAACCAAAGUUUUUGGGUUCCGGGGGGAGUACGGUCCGAAUGAUGACUUAAAGGAAUUGACGUAAGGGCACCAUCAUGGGAGACCUGCGGCUUAAUUUGACUCAACACGGGAAAACUCACCAGGUCCACAA